rnacentral:misc_RNA from 1 species
GAUGAAGAACGUAGCGAAAUGCGAUACUUGGUGUGAAUUGCAGAAUCCCGUGAACCAUCGAGUCUUUGAACGCAAGUUGCGCCCGAAGCCAUUAGGCCGAGGGCACGCCUGCCUGGGCGUCACACGUCGUUGCCCCCCCAUCUACUCCUUCGGGAUUGCGGGGGGCGGAUGAUGGCCUCCCGUGCGCCUCGUCGCGCGGUUGGCAUAAAUGCCAAGUCCUCGGCGACGCACGCCACGACAAUCGGUGGUUGCGAAACCUCGGUUGCCCGUCGUGUGCGGUCGUCGCGCAUCGAGGGCUCGAAAAAAUUGCCUGGCUCUGUUUCGGCUUUCAACGCGACCCCAGGUCGGGCGGGGUUACCCGCUGAAUUUAAGCAUAUCAAUAAGCGGAGGA